rnacentral:rRNA from 1 species
UACGGGGGGGGCAAGCGUUGUUCGGAAUUACUGGGCGUAAAGGGCUCGUAGGCGGCCAACUAAGUCAGACGUGAAAUCCCCCGGCUUAACCAGGGAACUGCGUCUGAUACUGGAUGGCUUGAGUUUGGGAGAGGGAUGCGGAAUUCCAGGUGUAGCGGUGAAAUGCGUAGAUAUCUGGAGGAACACCGGUGGCGAAGGCGGCAUCCUGGACCGACACUGACGCUGAGGAGCGAAAGCCAGGGGAGCAAACGGG